UAGUAAGUGCGUGGAUAUUGCGUAUUAUAGUUUUUAUUUUAUAAAAAAUACUCUAUUUUCUUUUAUUAGGGCAUAACUUUGUACAUUGACUAAGUGUGUUGAAAAAAAAGUUGUAUUUACUGGGAAUUGUAUUACAAAAAUAUUAAUUAGAUUCACUAAUUCACAUGAUUUUUUCGAGAAUUGAACCAAGACCAACUUUUAUUGAGCUCAAUUUUAAUUAGUGUACAUUUGUGGAACUUGAAAAGAAACAGGUAUAUGGCUGAGAAGAAAGAAGUUGAAAAGAAACAGGUAUAUGGCUGAGAAGAAAGAAAAACUAGUGCAGUGAAAAAGAACAGGCUAAGUUAGUACUGUCUACUCCGAUAUCAAUAUUGUCGAUCACUUGUUCUUGUGUCAAUUAACAAUUAUUCAAGAAGAUGAGAAUGUUGACGGCAAAAAUUGAGAAAGUAUUGACUCAAUUAGCAAUUUAAGCUGUUCUCGUGAAGAACAAAAGUCGAAAAGGAGAUGUUUAGGGCGCGAAGUUCAGGGAACUACGAAGGGCUCGCGGAAUGGAAGAACAGAGGUGAGGAGGGUGGAACUCAGUGAAAGAGGUGGACGUGGCGAGGGUGAAGGCGCUAUCGGCCGUGAAUAAUGCGCGGUGGCGUCCGCACAUCGUUGUGUCUCCCGUGCGUGCACGUUCGUGCUUUCGAUUCGGCCUCGGCUGGAUGGAUUGAUAAAGAUUAAAGGUAAAGGGAGGUGGCAGGGUCCAGGGGUGUUUUGGAGUUAGGCGACAGAAGUCAGCCAGCGAGACGAAGCGGCCAGGCGAGCGUGUGUGGGGGAUGAUGUCACAUAGGGGUUUCCCCCUUGCUGCUCUCCUGCUUCUCCUCCUCUUCCUCCUGCCUCCGCCAGUCUAGCGUAAAUACAUACAGAUGCAGGCCGGAUUGAUGCAUUGACCGAGCGCAGUGACGUAGAAUCGAUUUUUCGUACGAGGAAGGAUGACGUUUCGGAAAGCAGCACACCCAUCGAGAGGACGUUCUACGCCAAUGUACGCGAAGCUCGACUCGGUAUGACUCAUGCGAUCUCUCUCGCAGCCUCCCCUGCACGGUCCCGUAUCGUAGUCAUGCACAAUGGAGAAUAGCAAACGCAGUAAAGGGAUGCUCGUAUCCAGACGCAGAUGCUAUCUGAAAACCGUUUUACAAAACUACAGCGGUUGUAAUAUCGGAGGGUGACUGGGAUAUGUACGUUAGCGGUACCGUGGCAGUUUACUUCUUACAAGAUCGGUAGAAAUAAAUUUAUGAUGUUAUUUGCACUUUGAAAGAGAAAAGAUCUAUAUCUAACUUAUCUCUUUGGCUUCCAAUUCUAUGAAUAUUAGCCCCGUAUUAAUAGAUGAUGUUUAAAAUUUGUCUAGAGUGAGAUACUGAGAUUUUAAUUUAGAGUUAAACGUGAGUUUUUCAGUCGAAUCAUGCUUACAAAAGUAUUAUCACACAUAUAUAUUAUAUGAUUCAAAUAAAAAACUCUAAAUUCAAACCUGAGUAUCUCCCAUGGAACAAGUUUCAAGUAGCAACUAUUAAUGUGGGCUUUAGACCCGUAUUGAUAGUUCUCAUCUGAAACUUAUCUCGUGUAAGAUGCUCAGAUUUUUAUUUAACGUUAGAUUCAAAUUUUUCAGUUGAAGUAUGAUAUAUAUGACAUUUAUAUUUUCAAUUGCGAUUCAAGUGAAAAAUUCAGACCUGAGUAUAUCUCAAUUGAAAAGAAUUUUAAGUAAUAACUUUUAAUACAGGACUUAGAAUUCAUAAAUUAUCUCUGGAAUCAAAACAUUUUCCAAGAACUCAAUCGUACAUUUCAUUCAUCAAUGAAAGUAUUAAUUGACAUAAGGGGAAGCAUCUUCUAUAUUAUUGUCAAUAUAGUUGUUAUCAAUAUUAAUUUACAGUUAAUAUUAAUCAAUAUAGUGUAUAACUCAUUUAUAAAAACGCGUGUUAACAGUAUAACGAUAAAAAGAAAAAAAUAAGAAAUUGUGUAAGAUAGAUAAUGCGAGAUCUCAAUCGUUGUGUCUGCGCUGUUACUGUGAGACUUUCGAAAACGCACGACGGGAGAACAGAAUCGUAAACGACCAAUUUAUACGGCGAGCGCCUCGGCGAGGAUCCUCAAUUAAACAAUUACACUUAAAUUGAGUGGAAUUCCCACCGCGGUGCCCGCAUGUUCGUUAACGAUCAUUCGUGCGCACCUACGAGCUGUUAAGGUAAUACACAGGCGCAGGGGAACUAAAUAACCUUUGAUCAGGUACACGUGGGCCCACAUACGUCGAAAUUUAUGAAUCAUGAGAUGAGCGAGCUACCGAAAUUGAGAUCGACGAUAAGUUCACGAUUAUGGUGGUUGAGCUUAUACGAAGUUGCUCCGACGAUUCCUACGAGAAUAUACGAUCAUACGAAGCACAUUGAGAUAAGCGUUUACUUUAAGUAAACGUAGAGGCACGUUCAAAUUUCUCUUUCCGUUCGAGAUACGGAACCAUGACGACGGAAUAAUACGGAAGAUAAAAAAAAAGAGAUAUUUCGAAGCCACAUUAAAUACAUCUAAGUCUAAUAAAUCUGACCAAUAGACCAAUAUUAAUUUACGCUUGGUAGACAAUUGCGCCUCUUUCUUGAAAAAAAAUUCCCGAAGUUUGUGAAGAGCGAUAGAAAUCCAUCGAUAACGCCCGGAUUAACUGUCGACGAUUCGCGGUUAUUACAACAUCUAUAUACAAACCUAAGAAUGUACAUUCUACUUCCGCUUCACAGCUCUGGCAUGCCGAUAGUCUUGUAACGAGACUCGCAUGACGUGCACGCGCGAAUGAAAGAACGUGGAAAGCGGAGAACGAAGAGAAAAUCGAGGAACGAAGACGAAAUACGUGCGGACAUGUACAGAACUCGGCACGUCGGUGUUUAAAUGUGAGAAAGUAGAAGGCAGGGGGAGAGAUGAGGGGGCAAAGAGAGAACGAAAUCGGCCGCCCAUUGUGCUCAGGUGUGAGGCGUGUGCGCAAGGAUAGGAUUCGCAAGGGUGACCAGGGGAUCAGAAAGGGGAGGUAGGUAGCGCGGUGAGACAGGGGUAGAUUUGCACACGCGGCACGAGCCGCUCCAACAAAGGGAUGGAACAGAUUGGAAGCCAUUCAUUCACUCGCUCGCCCUGUCUUUUUCCCCUGUAUUUGACCGGGAGAGCAUCGACCACCCUCCGCUCUCAGUCCACCCCCUCUUCCCUGCACGCGCGGGCGCGCGCGCGCGGACGUCCAAGUCGUCGAGUUUAACUCGGGAUCACCCUCCUGCGGUACAGGUACAGUCAAUCGCGUCACUAAUUCGGAGUUUCAUUAGGGAGUCUUUGUAAUCCGGCAAUGUAACGUACGUCGAAUGCAGUGAGCGAUAAAAUGUCUCACGUGUUGAGUGUAAAAUACCCGCAGUUUAUCGUACCGUCUCAACCCUAUCGUGCCGUCUCAAUCCUGUCGUGGCGUUUUUGAGAUAAACUAUUGCGAUUAUUGCGAUCUGUAACUGGAAAUUGACUGACAAACAACUUUGUAUACGACAUUGGCGCAAGAGAUGGCCUUUUUUUAUUUGUAACGAUCUGUAUUUGAUCUUUCCAGCACGAGUCUGAUCUCAACCCGUCCGCGAGAGAUUCGACCUCGAUCUUCGCGCGAGUCAAAAUGGUAAGGACGCGGUGAUGCACCUAGCCAACACACCGGUGCGAUUCCUCAGUUAUUACUCAGCCCUCCGCGGCUUGGGAUUCAAUAACGGCGAACGAGUGAGUACUAAAAGCCUUUUAACGUGACCGACUGUACGUGGGGUACCUUCUCAGUCAGGGUGAAGACCCCCACAGCCACCCUCGAUCCACGUUUCGUGCACCGUGCUAGUAGUUAUACGUGCGCAGAUUCGUAUGUACCCAUGUGCUCCAAAAAGAACGAGGGAGAAAGAGAGAAAGGGAAAAGACAAACGAUAAAGAAAGAGAGAAGUAGAGACGGCGAAAGGGAGGCUCGGAGGGGUAGGUUAUGUUCUUUCCGCCUGCGUGCCCCUCUAUUCAAGUUAUUGCAUUACUGGCUUAGCUUUGCUACCCCACAGCCGCUACGUGCGCGUACCCCGGCGCGGCUACCCCAUCAUCCACAUCCAAUAUCCAUCGGCACCGCGGCUGCAUUUCGCAGUGCACACCUUCCCAGAAUGCAUAACCGCUGAAUCCCUUUAAAUUCCACCUCUUACAACGCCGGCGUAUACCUGUGUGGAUUUCCGGGGCAAAGGCCGUUCACUGCAAGCGAGUGAGCGAACGGUUAUCCGCGAUAUUAAAUUCGCGAUAAUAGCAUAUCGCUAAAAACGAUAAACCGAGCCGUCGAGCCCGAGGAAUUCCUCGAGUUUACAACGUUCACGCUCAGAGACGCUUUUACGCUUUUGAUCACCGGGAGAGACGAACGCCGACUCUUUUUCCCCCGAGACACUGAUUUAGAUCGAAUCCUGAAAAAUCACGGACUUAAUUCACUCGCGCUUAAACGCUCCGUAUUUACAUACUUCUACGGCGUACUACGCGCCUCGGCGCUCGUGCUAUAAUAUGCACGCGUGUUCGCAUCUCGUUAUCUGGAACAUGUCAGAUGAGUCGCACAGCGAGAGUCGUACCCUCGUGCCACGAUAAAUCCUCGGUGUUGAUUGAAACCAGAAGAAAGGACACUGGCGUCGCAGACAUUGCAGUGUCCGCCGCCAUCGAGAGAGAGAGAAAGAGACUCCGUCGACGAAUCGAUUCGACGUAAUUACACCGAUCACGUUAAUAUGGUAAACGAAAAUUCGCCAAUACCGCGUAAUUAACGACGGUGACGUAAUUGAUUCGGUUAAAACGGUAUACCCGGUGGAUUUAGCCGUACGUAUCGACGAAGUUUUUAAUAUUUCGCAUUCCAACAUUCAGAUAUAGUCCGCUGAAACUUUGAUAGAGAGAUCAGAAUUAAUCGUCUACAUUUGCGCGCUUUCACAAUCGUUUAUGAAUGAAAAAAGAAAGUUUCGCGCUAGACAGACGUAUGUAUGUGUGUGUAUAUGCGCGUUCAAUCUUUUUCUUUAUCAUUGAAUCACUCGACACAAUCCCGGAGUUUGUAUAAAAACGCUGUCUACAACGCGCUUGUUAUUACGGCAAGCUCGUCGCAAUCAUUCCGCAAACAACGCGCGAGCACAAUCGUCGUGAGCGUCGCGUCGGCGGAAUCGAAAUUUAUCGCGAUACGCGUACCCGCGAUUCGUCACGUAUUAACGGAGGACCUAUCCCGCGAUGCCUGUCGCUCGCGAUAAAACACGCCCUACGUCCACGAUUCGUACGCGCCGAACGACAGAUUUAUGGCUAUCGGCUCGCGUACACGUGCGGCUCUUUUCAAUUAAUUCAAACCGGAUUACAUCCUGCGCCGGCGUUGCAUAAUUCCGCGGCAACACGUCAAACCAGUAAUUUCGUGAGACAAACGCCCCAACCCUGGCUUCUCACUCCCGCUCUCUCCGUCGGCUUCCCUCUUCGAACGAAUUGGAAAUUUCUCAUAAAAUGUAAAAAAUGGAACAAUUAUCGGAAACAGCCAGAGGAAAAGGAGGAUGUCGGUUUAUCUCGUCGUUCUCACCGUGUCUCUCUGUCAAAAGUUCCAAAUAUAGAUCGCAUCAUUCUAAUCAUUCUAAUCUUCUAAUAACGUACUUUUGACUAUCUCGACAUAAUAAUGACUCAAAGACCAUUAUUAUCGCCUGAUAAUCUUCACUCCGAACUAUCUCACAUGUGACACCAGCGGAACAACACAGAGAUCUUUCUACCCGAAUGACUCAAAGUUAAUCUUUGUUUUUCGCAGGGAAGGGUACCAGACACCAGUGUUUCUUUCACAGAGAGAACACCGUCGUGGGAACGACGGUCGCACAGCGUUCAGCGAAUAUAUCGAUGACUCACGUGCGCGAUCUCGUGCCGGCACGUUUUUGCAGAAUCGUUUUCCUAGGGGAGAGCAGGCGGGCGGGGAGUGAUGGGGGAGGUUUCACGAAUGCGUGGUACUUCGAUUCGUACGUACCUCGUCAAGUUAUCAAAAGUUCGCUAAAGGGAUCAGGAACGGUAACCAUACUGCCGCAGGCCCUUGCCAUAUGGCAUGUAUUGCUCUACCCGUCUGUACGCAGAAUCUAUAGGUAGACGUUCCCUGCAGAGGGUCAUUCCUUACGGCUAAACGUAUCCAUUCAAGCUCACCUUUCUCCGCACCCUGAUUAGCAGUGCUAUUGUUUAAAACAGUCUUGUGUACCGUGUCGAAUAUCAAGGACCUUCCUGCACAAAAUGUCGCGAUCAUAAAUAUAAGCGUGAUGCAGUUUUAAUAUGAAGAAUUAUGCAAAAUAUUCUAUUAGGUUUAUAUAUUCUAGAGGGAGAUAAAAGUGAGAGAGAUGGAAAGUUCGUAAAACGACCUCUCGUCAAAUUUGCAAUUUAUUUUACUAAUCUGUACUAUUAAACACAAAUGAUGAUAUACGAAGAGAGAAACUAAUUUAGUUCAGCAUGUAAUGCAAGAAAGAAGUUUAUGUGUAACACGAAGAAAGUACAUGAAGUACAUGAUUAUAUACAAUUUAUGUGUAACAUGAGAAGAGAGAAGCCUACAAGAGCCUUUACAUAUAUUUGACAAUUUAUAUAUGGUAAAUCAGUAUGUGGCUACAGUCAGACAUACCAGCCUCAAACAUUAUCCAGCGUAUAUAUAUUUCCGAGUCGCGCUGGACCAACAUUCGUCGAUAAGCAGCAUUUUCGAGGUACGUUGAGCAAGCGCAGAAGCAAUACUCGAAACGUUACCUUUGACAGCAAAAAAUCACGCGACUGUGAUAUCACGCGUCGUCGAGAGUUUAUCUCUCUUUCGGGGGAAACGUCAUCGCGCAAGGAUGGCGAAAAGGAAAAAAAGACCGCGCAAACGAGAACAUCGGGAACUCAUGUAUACAACGGCGUACCGCCCUCUCUGCCAUAAUUUCACACCAAGUUAAAAUCGCUCUCUCACAACGCGAUGAAAAUUGGUUUACAAAGUGACUUAUUCACUGUUGCUCCUGUUAACGACAGAAAGACAUAAACAUAUAAGUAAUAUUUCUCUAGCAUGUUUCAUUUUAAGCUACAAAUCAAAAGAGAGCGUUAAAAAUUAGGUAAUAUUUGCCUUUAAUUAUUAAGUUCUAUAAUAGUGUAUAAUCAAGUUCUAUAAUAUUGAGAAAGACUGAUUGUCAGAUUAAAAUAAAAAUCUAAUCGAUAAUCAAUUAUGAAGAAAAAAACUACAAAGAAAAUGUAUAUUUACGCUAAAAUAGCUGUAUUUUCAAAUUUGAACGAAUUUCAAGGUCAAAACUUAAAGUUAAGCUCAAUAAUUAUAUUCAAAGCUCAAUAAACGAAGGUAUAUCUAUCGGGUUAUCUUCAAUAAUUUUACUUAAACCUAUAUUCGUGUUUUUUCCAAAUAAUUUUGCUUUUAGUUGUAUAGAUAACUCUCUCAUGUGAUGAACUGUACAACAUAUAUAUAUAUAUAUCACACGGAAGCAAAUAUCAUACUAAGUCCAGUGAGUUGUGCCCACACACGAUCGAAGUUAACCAUUAGAUAUAAUAUACUCCUGUCUCUUUCUCUACUCUCCUAUCCUCUUCACCUUUCCCUCCCUGUCGGGGUCAAGCGGCAAAUAUUUGUUACGAUCGAGAAAACGCGUACGCGAGUUCAGAUUUCUGUUUGUCUUCCGAGUGUUGUCAUGGAGUGAGAUAUUGGCUUUGACUGCCGUUUAUUUUUAUAGUCAUAUAUUCCGCUGUAAUGAGUAAUGUGGCGCGUAAUCUAAACCUUUGGCUGAUAACGGAAUACGCAGGAAACCUGUGGACCGAUCUAUAUGUUCCUUAACACGUUCCACGUUAUUUGUACGAUAAAGCUACAGCAAUAAACAACGACGAUCUUUAGUAUUUAUCAUUGAUUUUCAUCGAGACGUUGAACCACCAGUUUUUGACAUUCUCAAAUUUUUCAUUAUUGAAUUACAAGUAUAGCCUUGUUUCAAAUACAGCAACAUGAAAAAUAAUAUUUAAUAUUUCCAACUUGAUUUAAAGAUCCACCACAUAUUCUACCUGAUCUCUUGAAACAAAUACUAUCUUAAGGAGACAAAAAGAGAGAAAAAACUAUAUACAGAACACUGUCGCAACAGCGCUCAGAAGAACGUCAGCGCGGCUAAGGACGAAUAAGGACGCAAUGUUGAUGAUACAAGAGAAGAAGAGAAAGAGAACUAGAAGAGGGAACGCAAGUGCGGCACACAUGUUGACGGUAUGCAGUUGUUAAGAGGUAACCGGAAGCGGGCAAGGCUAAGUCAUGAGAUACGUUGAAAUUCGAGCCGUAAAAAAAAUGUAGGAACGAUAAAGGUUCUCUCCGAGGAAUUGCGCCUAUCGAGGGAUGGUCCAAGAAUAUAUUUUUCAUAUAAUCCCCGUAAUCUUAACGAGCAUACCGACACGAGGACGAAUACUGAAGUAGAAAAAAAGCAAAGAAGACAAAUCCAAUGCAAAACAAUGCUUGCAGUUGGAUCUACAAUCUUUCAAACUAAUUCUAAGGAAAGAAAAAUUAAUGUAUUUUAAGAGAACACACACAUACC